AGUCGAGAAUCUUCGGCAAUGGGCGAAAGCCUGACCGAGCGACGCCGCGUGCGGGAUGAAGGCCCUCGGGUUGUAAACCGCUGUCAGUAGGGAGCAAAUUUCUUGGGGUUAUCCCCUUGAAUUGAGCGAUCUUCAGAGGAAGUACGGGCUAAGUUCGUGCCAGCAGCCGCGGUAAGACGAACCGUACGAACGUUAUUCGGAAUCACUGGGCUUAAAGAGUUCGUAGGCGGCCGUGUAGGUGGGAUGUGAAAGCCCUCGUCUCAACCGAGGAAUUGCGUUCCAAACCACAUGGCUCGAGGAAGAUAGAGGUGAGCGGAACUGAUGGUGGAGCGGUGAAAUGCGUUGAUAUCAUCAGGAACACCAGAGGCGAAGGCGGCUCACUGGGUCUUUUCUGACGCUGAGGAACGAAAGCUAGGGGAGCAAA
rnacentral:rRNA from 1 species